UGACCUUGGUGACCCAUCUGUCUGUAUCUUUAGACCUUGGUGACCCAUCUAUCUUAAUCUUUAGACCUUGGUGACCCAUCUAUUUUUAUCUUUAGACCUUGGUGACCCAUCUAUCUUUAUCUUUAGACCUUGGUGACCCAUCUACCUUUAUCUUUAGACCUUGGUGACCCAUCGAUCUUUAUCUUUAGACCUUGGUGACCCAUCUAUCUCUAUCUUUAGACCAUGGUGACCUUGGUGACCCAUCUGUCUUUAUCUUUAGACCUUGGUGACCCAUCUAUCUUUAUCUUUAGACCUUGGUGACCCAUCUAUCUUUAUCUUUAGACCUUGGUGACCCAUCUAUCUCUAUCUUUAGACCUUGGUGACCUUAGUGACCCAUCUAUCUCUAUCUUUAGACCUUGGUGACCCAUCAAUCUUUCUAUAGACCUUGGUGACCCAUCUAUCUCUAUCUUUAGACCUUGGUGACCUUGGUGACCCAUCUAUCUUUAGAACCCAUCUGAGGAUCUGGUUUGUUGUCAUUUCACACGGGCCUAGUUGCAUCUGCCUGCAAUACACGUAUACGUUAUGAAACUGAGCAAAACAGGUUUAGACCAAUUCUCAAAUCCACCCUCAGCUCCUCAAUCCUUUGCUAAACUUCUUUUAUAUUCAAAAAGAUUUUGGCGUCGCUCUUUCAGUCAAAUAAAAAGGAGAAUGUGCAUUGAAUUGAGGAGGUUGUUGCUGAGAAGCUGCUAUGGAUUAGAGGCGAGUCAUUCCAUCACAUCAAAGUCCAGCCUGGUGGUGGGAAACGGGAGCCAUUAAGCUUCUUCCUCACAGCUUCUCCCGUCUUUAUGUUCUCUUCUCAUGAGCAGCCUCUCGACCUUCCUUCUGGUACUUUAAUCAUCAUAGUUUUUCCAUCAAGCACUGCUGAAAGAGCCAACAGGGAGAGAGGGAGAGAGAAAGAGACAUAAGUGACACAGCAGUGCCCUGACCUCCGGGCCGCUGUGGUCACGCUGGGGACGUUAUAUACUCGAACGUUUACUCUGUCCUCGGGACACAAAUGUUUUUCUACUGUCCGACAGGCUCUUU